AUUUCUUUUAUUGGUAAGGUGGCGAGCUAGCACAAACGUUAGCGCGCCGGGCGAAGUGCUUAGUGGCAUUUCGUCUGCCGCUACGUUCUGAGUUCAAAUUCCGCCAAGGUCGACUUUGCCUUUCAUCUUUUCGGGGUCGAUUAAAUAAGUACCAGUUACG